rnacentral:lncRNA from 1 species
GUGGGGCCUGGAUUGCCACCAACAUUAUGUAGCGGAGCCUGGGCUGGGUGGGACAGGGGAUGGCCCUGGGUUCCCUGGGACUCAGGUCUCCUCUCCACACACUCACAUUCCUCAUUGUCUUCCUGUGCCCAUGGCUGUCCAACAUGUGUACCCUCCAGAGACAUCUCACUGGAAGUGGAGGUUUCAGAGUAAAGAAGAACAGGUCAGCUGGGAGAGGCCACCUGGGGGACACAAAUGGCCUGUUCGCUGUUUCCACCACAGAGUCUACAAUAGAGCCUCAGACAGAGGGGCUUCCCUCUUUCUGUGCAGAGGUGGGGUCCAACUCAGCAGACUGUGGACACCGUGUCCAGAGAGCACAGAGGGCCCUGAGCCACCAUGUGGACAUAGAAGGCAGCAGGCCCUUGAAGAUGUGGUUUCAUCUAGACAGUACAACCAGUGGCCUCCAUUAUGCUCUGGGGGAGAUGCUCAAGGAGGGAGGAUUUGACUAG